CCUACGGGUGGCAGCAGUGAGGAAUAUUGGUCAAUGGACGAGAGUCUGAACCAGCCAAGUAGCGUGAAGGAUGACUGCCCUAUGGGUUGUAAACUUCUUUUAUAUGGGAAUAAAACGUUCCACGUGUGGGAUUUUGUAUGUACCAUAUGAAUAAGGAUCGGCUAACUCCGUGCCAGCAGCCGCGGUAAUACGGAGGAUCCGAGCGUUAUCCGGAUUUAUUGGGUUUAAAGGGAGCGUAGGUGGAUUGUUAAGUCAGUUGUGAAAGUUUGCGGCUCAACCGUAAAAUUGCAGUUGAAACUGGCAGUCUUGAGUACAGUAGAGGUGGGCGGAAUUCGUGGUGUAGCGGUGAAAUGCUUAGAUAUCACGAAGAACUCCGAUUGCGAAGGCAGUUCACUGGACUGCAACUGACACUGAGGCUCGAAAGUGUGGAUAUCAAACAGGAUUAGAUACCCUAGUAGUC
rnacentral:rRNA from 1 species